rnacentral:rRNA from 1 species
GAUGAACGCUGGCGGCGUGCCUAACACAUGCAAGUCGAGCGAUGAAAUUUCCUUCGGGAAAUGGAUUAGCGGCGGACGGGUGAGUAACACGUGGGUAACCUGCCUCAUAGUGGGGGAUAGCCUUCCGAAAGGGAGAUUAAUACCGCAUAACAUCAUUAGAUGGCAUCAUUUAGUGAUCAAAGGAUUUAUUCGCUAUGAGAUGGACCCGCGUCGCAUUAGCUAGUUGGUAGGGUAAUGGCUUACCAAGGCGACGAUGCGUAGCCGACCUGAGAGGGUGAUCGGCCACAUUGGGACUGAGACACGGCCCAGACUCCUACGGGAGGCAGCAGUGGGGAAUAUUGCACAAUGGGGGAAACCCUGAUGCAGCAACGCCGCGUGAGUGAUGACGGUCUUCGGAUUGUAAAGCUCUGUCUUUGGGGACGAUAAUGACGGUACCCAAGGAGGAAGCCACGGCUAACUAC